UCAUCUUUAUACCCCCACAAACGAAGUUUAAGGGGGGUAUAUAGGAGUCAGCUUGUCGGUCGGUCGGUUGGUCGGUCGGUCGGUCCACAUCAUGGUUUCCGGACGAUAACUAGAGUUUGGAAUGAGGUAUUGUAAUCAAACUUGGUAUAUAGCAACCUUAUGUGGAAACUCCGGUUGGUAUUGCAUUUGGACCCCCUGGGGUCAAGGUCAAGGUCACCGUUACUAAAAAUAGAAAAAUGGUUUCCGGACAAUAACUAGAGUUAGGAAUGAGAUAUUGUUAUCAAACUUUGUGUAUAGCAAGCUUAUAUGAAGACCUGGGUUGGUAUUGCAUUUAGGCCCCCUGGGGUCAAGGUCAUGGUUACUAAAAAUAGAAAAAUGGUUUCCGGACAAUAACUUGAGUUAGGAAUGAGAUAUUGUAAUCAAACUUGGUGUAUAGCAAGCUUAUAUGAAGACCUGGGUUGGUAUUGUAUUUGGACCCCUGGGGUCAAGGUCAAGAUCACUGUUACUAAAAAUAGAAAAAUGGUUUCCGGACAAUAACUAGAGUUAGGAAUGAGAUAUUGUUAUCAAACUUUGUGUAUAGCAAGCUUAUAUGAAGACCUGGGUUGGUAUUGCAUUUGGACCCCCUGGGUCAAGGUCAAGGUCACCGUUACUAAAAAUAGAAAAAUGGUUUCCGGACAAUAACUUGAGUUAGGAAUGAGAUAUUGUAAUCAAACUUGGUGUAUAGCAAGCUUAUAUGAAGACCUGGGUUGGUAUUGUUUUUGGACCCCCUGGGGUCAAGGUCACCGUUACUAAAAAUAGAAAAAUGGUUUCCGGACAAUAACUAGAGUUAGGAAUGAGAUAUUGUUAUCAAACUUUGUGUAUAGCAAGCUUAUAUGAAGACCUGGGUUGGUAUUGCAUUUAGGCCCCCUGGGGUCAAGGUCAAGGUCAUGGUUACUAAAAAUAGAAAAAUGGUUUCCAGACAAUAACUUGAGUUAGGAAUGAGAUAUUGUAAUCAAACGUGGUGUAUAGCAAGCUUAUAUGAAGACCUGGGUUGGUAUUGUAUUUGGACCCCCUGGGGUCAAGGUCAAGGUCACCAUUACUAAAAAUAGAAAAAUGGUUUCCGGACAAUAACUAGAGUUAGGAAUGAGAUAUUGUUUUCAAACUUUGUGUAUAGCAAGCUUAUAUGAAGAGCUUGGUUGGUAUUGCAUUUGGAUCCCCUGGGGUCAAGGUCAAGGUCACCGUUACUAAAAAUAGAAAAAUGGUUUCCGGACAAUAACUUGAGUUAGGAAUGAGAUAUUGUAAUCAAACUUGGUGUAUAGCAAGCUUAUAUGAGACCUGGGUUGGUAUUGUUUUUGGACCCCCUGGGGUCAAAGUCAAGGUCACCGUUACUAAAAAUAGAAAAAUGGUUUCCGGACAAUAACUAGAGUUAGGAAUGAGAUAUUGUUAUCAAACUUGGUGUAUAGCAAGCUUAUAUGAAGACCUGGGUUGGUAUUGCAUUUUGACCCCCUGGAGGUCAAGGUCAAGGUCACCAUUCCUAAAAAUAGAAAAAUGGUUUCCGGACAAUAACUAGAGUUAGGAAUGAGAUAUUGUAAUCAAACUUUGUGAAAAGCAAGCUUAUUUGGAGACCCCAGUUGGGAUUACAAUUAAUUGAAAUAUUUCUUUGUACACAGUUGAUAGUUUGUGUUGAAAUUUUUCUUCAGACUACUUAUUUUUCAAAAAGUUGCUGGUGGGGGUAUUAAUCACCUUCAGUGAUAGGUCUAGUUAUGGCUUGU